CCCUUCUUUCUGAUAUGCCACGGGCCAAACGUUCUAUUCCAUAAUAAGCAAAUUUUUAACCAAACCGAAGUAAUCAGGGGGUUUGGAUAGAUCAAUUAAUUUGAGUUAAAGAUUAAAGGAAUUAGAGGUCUCGAGUUCAAACGUGGAUAACGGAGAAAGAAUGUAUUGGGAGAGAAGAAGAGAGAGGGAACAAAUAUAGAAGAAAGGGGACUUACAAACGACCAUGAGCCCUGUGCUCUGCAGGUGCAUGCCAGUGAAGUUGUCUCAAUGAAUAAUUCAUUCCAUUUAUGUUAAUAUCUCCCACUUUACCUUCAAAAUGUACCUAUAUUUUAACAAACUCAACCAUAUCAGUUGAUAUCACAAUUUUCCUUAACAACCUUACCUUAUAAUUGUGUAAUUUGUUUGUAACAGACGUUGGACCCAACACUGAUACCUAGACACCGACUAAUAAUAAUAAUUUGAAAAGUAGAAAUGAUUGGCAUCGACUCGUGUCUAACAUCAAACACAUAUUCGAUUUGAAGUGUCAGUAGUAUAUAGUUAUGAUGGGGUAACCACAAUUUUUCCACUUUUUAAGAGAUUUGUAUAGUUGAUGAACAUACAUACCCCAAUGUUGAAUUGGUUGUUAACAAGUGUAGCAUUUGUGGGAAGGUAGUUUCUGUCUAAGGAUUUCAAUUCCUGGUUCAUGACAAUAUCUGUCAUUACAAGAUCCACUGGACUUUGUGCUUUCCCAUUUGAACAUGCCGCGAAAGAUGGACUCAGAGUUCCCCACUUCUCAGGACCAUUUGGUCCAAUAUAACUAAAAUUAACCGAAUCUAGCAUAAAAAAACAAACAAAAACCUAGUCAUAACAAGUAAUCAUCAUAUCAUAACAUAUAAUUUAAUUAUGAUAAAUGCAAAAUGAAAUCUUACUAUAAUUUGCUGAAGUGCAUAGAGCCAAAGUUGCAAUAAAAAGGAUUGAGAAGUAAAUCUGCAAGGCCAUUUUGAAUAGCUAUUAUCUACCUAUGAUUGCUUUGAUCUAAGAACCUAUGUCUUAUUUCCUCAGCUUUGUAGAACAUAUAUAGUGAUGGUUGUGUGGUAUUGUGUUCUUCUUCAAUAUAUAUUAUCAAUAUUAUGGUCAAUUUGGACAUUUUGAGGAUAUGCUCAACUUUGGAUGGUGGAUGAAUUUGUUGAGGUUACUUACAAGAUCAGUGGAGAGACAAUGCUGUCCUUUUCUAUAUGGGAAAAGUAUGCUGGCAAGGAGCAUUUAGCAGAUUCUAUUGGGACUUAUGAUUGAAGAGUUUUGGAUUUUAAAUUUUAUUUCUAUUAUUUGUAGAAUUGUUUUAAUAAUCAACCUAGCAAAGUGGCAUCAUAAUGUGAUUUUUUAUUUUAUAAUCAUGUUAUUAGUGUGAAUUGCAAGUAUUUUCUAAUUUUAUC
rnacentral:lncRNA from 1 species